UAUUCACCCUUGUCUUUUGCGUACUUCUUGUUUCCUUGGUGGGUUCGCCCACCACUAGGACAAACAUAAACCUUUUGUAAUUGCAAUCAGCGUCAGUAACAAAUUAAUAAUUACAACUUUCAACAACGGAUCUCUUGGUUCUGGCAUCGAUGAAGAACGCAGCGAAAUGCGAUAAGUAGUGUGAAUUGCAGAAUUCAGUGAAUCAUCGAAUCUUUGAACGCACAUUGCGCCCUUUGGUAUUCCAAAGGGCAUGCCUGUUCGAGCGUCAUUUGUACCCUCAAGCUUUGCUUGGUGUUGGGCGUCUUGUCUCUAGCUUUGCUGGAGACUCGCCUUAAAGUAAUUGGCAGCCGGCCUACUGGUUUCGGAGCGCAGCACAAGUCGCACUCUCUAUCAGCAAAGGUCUAGCAUCCAUUAAGCCUUUUUUUCAACUUUUGACCUCGGAUCAGGUAGGGAUACCCGCUGAACUUAAGCA
rnacentral:rRNA from 1 species